rnacentral:rRNA from 1 species
AGUAACCUGCCCUUAACUCUGGGAUAAGCCUUGGAAACGGGGUCUAAUACUGGAUAUUGACUUUACCUCGCAUGGGGUUUGGUUGAAAGAUUUAUUGGUUUUGGAUGGACUCGCGGCCUAUCAGCUUGUUGGUGAGGUAAUGGCUCACCAAGGCGACGACGGGUAGCCGGCCUGGAGAGGGGUGACCGGCCACACUGGGACUGAGACACGGCCCAGACUCCUACGGGAGGCAGCAGUGGGGAAUAUUGCACAAUGGGCGAAAGCCUGAUGCAGCGACGCCGCGUGAGGGAUGACGGCCUUCGGGUUGUAAACCUCUUUCAGUAGGGAACAAGGCCAGUGUUUAGCUGGUUGAGGGUACUUGCAGAAGAAGCGCCGGCUAACUACGUGCCAGCAGCCGCGGUAAUACGUAGGGCGCAAGCGUUAUCCGGAAUUAUUGGGCGUAAAGAGCUCGUAGGCGGUUUGUCGCGUCUGCCGUGAAAGUCCGGGGCUCAACCCCGGAUCUGCGGUGGGUACGGGCAGACUAGAGUGAUGUAGGGGAGACUGGAAUUCCUGGUGUAGCGGUGAAAUGCGCAGAUAUCAGGAGGAACACCGAUGGCGAAGGCAGGUCUCUGGGCAUUAACUGACGCUGAGGAGCGAAAGCAUGGGGAGCGAACAGGAUUAGAUACCCUGGUAGUCCAUGCCGUAAACGUUGGGCACUAGGUGUGGGGGACAUUCCACGUUUUCCGCGCCGUAGCUAACGCAUUAAGUGCCCCGCCUGGGGAGUACGGCCGCAAGGCUAAAACUCAAAGGAAUUGACGGGGGCCCGCACAAGCGGCGGAGCAUGCGGAUUAAUUCGAUGCAACGCGAAGAACCUUACCAAGGCUUGACAUGAACUGGAAACACUUGGAAACAAGUGCCCCGCUUGCGGUCGGUUUACAGGUGGUGCAUGGUUGUCGUCAGCUCCGUGUCGUGAGAUGUUGGGUUAAGUCCCGCAACGAGCGCAACCCUCGUUCUAUGUUGCCAGCACGUAGUGGUGGGGACUCAUAGGAGACUGCCGGGGUCAACUCGGAGGAAGGUGAGGACGACGUCAAAUCAUCAUGCCCCUUAUGUCUUGGGCUUCACGCAUGCUACAAUGGCCGGUACAAUGGGUUGCGAUACUGUGAGGUGGAGCUAAUCCCAAAAAGCCGGUCUCAGUUCGGAUUGGGGUCUGCAACUCGACCCCAUGAAGUCGGAGUCGCUAGUAAUCGCAGAUCAGCAACGCUGCGGUGAAUACGUUCCCGGGCCUUGUACACACCGCCCGUCAAGUCACGAAAGUUGGUAACACCCGAAGCCGGUGGCCUAACCCCCUUGUGGGGAGGGAGCUGUCGAAGGUGGGACUGGCGAUUGGGACU